AUUGAACGCUGGCGGCAGGCCUAACACAUGCAAGUCGAACGAGUGGCGGACGGGUGAGUAAUGUCUGGGAAACUGCCUGAUGGAGGGGGAUAACUACUGGAAACGGUAGCUAAUACCGCAUACCAUCGGAUGUGCCCAGAUGGGAUUAGCUAGUAGGGGGGGUAACGGCUCACCUAGGUGACGAGCCCUAGCUGGUCUGAGAGGGUGACCAGCCAAACUGGAACUGAGACACGGGCCAGAUUCCUACGGAAGAGAGCAGUGGGGAAUAUUGGACAAUGGGCGCAAGCCUGAAGCAGCCAUGCCGCGUGUAUGAAGAAGGCCUUCGGGUUGUAGAGUACUUUCAGCGGGGAGGCGUUACCCGCAGAAGAAGCACCGGCUAACUCCGUGCCAGCAGCCGCGGUAUUC
rnacentral:rRNA from 1 species